AAUGUAAUAAUUCAAUAUUUGUGUAUUAUGUUACAAAAUAAUCACAGCAGGUUCAGUUAACAUCCAUCACCAUGCAUAGCUAUAUAUUUUUUUUCUUGCGGUGAGAAGUUUCAAGAUCCACCCUCUUAGCUACUUUCAAAUAUGCAAUCCAGUAUUAUUAACUAUAGUUAUAGUCAGGCUUGUGGUGCUCUAGAAUGCAGCUCAGGGAAUGCAAAGAUAGUGGCCAGCCCUCUGAGGUCUCUGGAAAGGAUAACAGUGAGCCCUCAGAUGCUUGUUUUCAUUUGAAGCCUGCCCCUCAGGCUGUAACUAUGGAGGUAGGCUAAUGGGUUCCUUUUAAGAAACAUGGAGCUCCUGGGUCUGUUGCUUCCAGCUGUCCCUGGAGAAUGGGAGCUAUUUAAGAACUCUCUCCAUUGAUUGCAGUUGUGUGGGACCCAUGAGCGUAAUUCCCCCUGGCCACCAGAGUCGUGUAUGGAUGUCCACAAAAAUUGGGCACCAGCUGAGGGUCUAAGCUCUUUUCUGCAAUACACAGGUGAGCUGGUGCAAGGCAGAGGGAGACCGAGAAGAUGGCAUCCACCGGCCUUUGUUUCCUGAGAGCUCAUGUGUGGCCUGUAGAUGUGUGUCAGAUCAGAAGCCUGUCCCUAAAGGCCAAAGCUCCAGGACAGGCAAAUAGGCCUCUGUCUCAGAAAGACUAGGUGUCUGCUCCAAUAUGUUAUCAACGCAGGGCCCUGGAGUUGGUAGGCUACUAAGAACGUUCGCGCUCAUGGCUGUGGUCUCGCGAGACCCAGGAACACACGCUGCCCUGCCCUGCCCUCCCGAGCCGGGCGGUCACCGCGAAGCAGUAGCGGAACGCCGGCCAACGGACAUGUGUAAAAGCAGUCCUCUGGGAGAUGCACACGCUUUGGUAUGUGGUAGAGGAAAUGUGUAUUUCUUUUUCUGUGAAAAAGAAAGAAAGAAAAAAACCCUAGCAUUAAAUUAGGGGGACAAAAAUGGCGCCUGUUAGCUGAAGUGAGGCCGAGAGAGGGAGAGCUGCAGAUGGUGGCCGCCAGCCAGCAGCCUCUGCGUGUGUCUAGAUUACAUGCCUGACCCUCAGGCUGCGACUUGAAGAUCAGUAAAUGGCGCCCGUAGGGCCACAAAGUUGGGAGCUUCUGGAUUGGCUGCUUCUGCGCUUGAACCCUGGGGCGGGCAAGAGGCUUUUCAUGGUACUUGACAUGCAGUCAUGGAUUGGCACAACAUAGCUAUUCGUUGAAGUAGGUGGCAAGCAUCCAACUCUGGGCCACCACAGCAACUCCACCCCCUGGUCCAGAUAGACCUUGUUCUGCUUCACUUAACUGUUUGGCAAGUGAGUUAUUCAGAAAAGGAAAGGAACAGGCAGAAGAGGAAGAGCCCUUGCACCAUU